ACCAAAUUAGGUAGUGCCCAUGUCACAAACAAGUAAUAACCAUUUAAAACAGUUUUUUCUGCACUAGGUUAACUAAGGGUUAACAAUAAUGAUAGUAACCACUUUUUUUCUGCGCAUGUCAAAAAGAAAUUUAUUGCUGCGCCACUAACAGAGAUAAAAACUUUUGCCUUCUUUGCUUUAUAUAAAUCAUUAUAAUUGGUCAAAGAAAACAUGGAGUAACCCUGUGAAAAUAACAGCCUAGCAAAGACCGCUAGAUAACUGGCGAUUCUAAUUAGAUUGAUGACGUGGCGAAAAACAAUUGGCUAUCAUACAAACAAAACCCGCUUACAUUUUUCGCAAAGUCAAAGACAACUCUGCCCACACCUUGGAGUAAAUCUGACAAUUUGAUCAGUUGUCAGCGUCUUCCCGCCGCGACCUCCCUGGCGUACCCUUGCCCUGCAUGCCCGAUAAGCCGACCACCGGCCCGUAUAUAUAUAUCUGCAGAAUGACUGAACGACGAUCUCUAAGCUGUAACUAACUAAAUAUCUCUGACCUCCGUCUUACACCACCUUGACGGAAAUCCAAGAACAACUUUGCGAAGCUUCACUGGUCGGAAAUUCUCAUCUAUUUUCAAACAUACAGCAGGCUUCUUAUCAUCUGUCAGCCAUUCUGCAAUCUUUGAAGAACAAGAAACAUUCGGGAUUGUUGCAGAAACAGCCACAAAUCUCAUGGAAGGAACUGUGUUGGGAUUCUCUGAGCUACAUGAAAAGGAAGAUUGUA